UACAGAGGGGGCAAGCGUUAUUCGGAAUUAUUGGGCGUAAAGGGCGCGUAGGCGGCCUGGCAAGUGGAUGGUGAAAUCCCUCGGCUUAACCGAGGAACUGCCAUCCAGACUGCUUGGCUUGAGACCGGGAGAGGUGAGUGGAAUUCCCAGUGUAGCGGUGAAAUGCGUAGAUAUUGGGAGGAACACCAGUGGCGAAGGCGGCUCACUGGACCGGUACUGGACGCUGAGGCGCGAAAAGCGUGGGGAGCAAACAGGG
rnacentral:rRNA from 1 species